CAGGAUGAACGCUAGCGGCAGGCUUAACACAUGCUUGUCGAGGGGCAGCGGGGAGGAAGCUUGCUUUCUCCGCCGGCGACCGGCGCACGGGUGAGUAACACGUAUGCAACCUGCCCCUGUCAGGGGGACAACCCGCCGAAAGGCGGGCUAAACCCGCGUACAUGCCACCGGGGCAUCCCGGAGGCAGGAAAGGCUUCGGCCGGACAGGGAUGGGCAUGCGGCGCAUUAGGCAGUAGGCGGGGUAACGGCCCACCUAACCGACGAUGCGUAGGGGUUCUGAGAGGAAGGUCCCCCACACUGGUACUGAGACACGGACCAGACUCCUACGGGAGGCAGCAGUGAGGAAUAUUGGUCAAUGGUCGGGAGACUGAACCAGCCAAGCCGCGUGAGGGAGGAAGGUACAGAGUAUCGUAAACCUCUUUUGUCAGGGAACAAAGGCGGGGACGUGUCCCCGGAUGAGUGUACCUGAAGAAAAAGCAUCGGCUAACUCCGUGCCAGCAGCCGCGGUAAUACGGAGGAUGCGAGCGUUAUCCGGAUUUAUUGGGUUUAAAGGGUGCGCAGGCGGUCUGUUAAGUCAGCGGUCAAAGCCCGGGGCUCAACCCCGGCCCGCCGUUGAAACUGGCAGUCUCGAGUUGGAGAGAAGUAUGCGGAAUGCGCGGUGUAGCGGUGAAAUGCAUAGAUAUCGCGCAGAACUCCGAUUGCGAAGGCAGCAUGCCGGCUCCACACUGACGCUGAGGCACGAAAGCGUGGGUAUCGAACAGGAUUAGAUACCCUGGUAGUCCACGCAGUAAACGAUGAAUGCUGGCUGUCCGGGGGGAUUGACCCCUGGGUGGCGAAGCGAAAGCGAUAAGCAUUCCACCUGGGGAGUACGCCGGCAACGGUGAAACUCAAAGGAAUUGACGGGGGCCCGCACAAGCGGAGGAACAUGUGGUUUAAUUCGAUGAUACGCGAGGAACCUUACCCGGGCUCAAACGGGGAGUGACUCAGGCAGAGACGCCUGUUUCCCACGGGACACUCCCCGAGGUGCUGCAUGGUUGUCGUCAGCUCGUGCCGUGAGGUGUCGGCUUAAGUGCCAUAACGAGCGCAACCCCCGCGUGCAGUUGCUAACAGAUAACGCUGAGGACUCUGCACGGACUGCCGGCGCAAGCCGCGAGGAAGGCGGGGAUGACGUCAAAUCAGCACGGCCCUUACGUCCGGGGCGACACACGUGUUACAAUGGGUGGUACAGCGGGAAGCCAGGCGGCGACGCCGAGCGGAACCCGAAAUCCACUCUCAGUUCGGAUCGGAGUCUGCAACCCGACUCCGUGAAGCUGGAUUCGCUAGUAAUCGCGCAUCAGCCAUGGCGCGGUGAAUA
rnacentral:rRNA from 1 species